rnacentral:tRNA from 1 species
GGACGGGUGGCCGAGCGGACUAAGGCGCACGCCUGGAGAGCGUGUGGGCACCACCAGUGCCUCGUGGGUUCGAAUCCCACCCCGUCCG